GUACUCGCUUCGGCGGUACAUAUACUAAAAUUGGAAUGAUACAGAGAGGAUUGGCAUGGCCCCUGCGCAAGGAUGACACGGAAAAUCAUGAAGCGCUCGCCGGCACG